rfam:Myotis lucifugus cont2.2306, whole genome shotgun sequence.
UGAAGAGCUCUGACACUAAGAUGUGUGGUUGUCAUGGGUUGGUGGGAACCAGGCUUGCUCAGAGUUAGUGUUACCAGCGCUCAGU